UUGAAUUUCAAAACGUGUCGAUAACAUUUAUACUGACAAGGCACACAAUUGAACCGUUUAUAAACAUAACAUAUUUAUGAUCAUUUAGAGUCGUUUUGGCCUCAAAUAUUAAUACGGAGAAGGAAUAGAUUGGGGACAUCCAAAGAGAAAUUGGCCGAACAUUAUCGACUAGACAUAUAGCAAGAAGGCUACUGAUUCAGUCCGACAAUUCUUAGGAACCACGGAAAAUAACAUAUUUAAUAAUUUGAUAAUAGGGAUGGGAAUCUGUCUCAGUUUAAUACUAAAUUAUGUAUUGCGUGGGUAUAUUAAUAUUUGUGUCCUUUGUGUGUAUAAAAAAUAUGUUGCAGGAAAUGCCUUAAGGUUUAAAACUCAGCCUCCAUUAGAGACAGUUUGAAACACGUGCUCAUACAAAACGACAUAUUAUUUUUUUAACAAUUUAAAAUGAUUUCUAAAUUGUUGAAAUUUACAAUUUACAAAAUAAUGUCAUUUAAAUCCUAAGCAUAAUGAAAUUCCUAUUAUUAGUGCAAUUCUUAAAAUAUUUCAAAAAUAUAAAUUUGUUUUUGUUCUAAAACUUUAAAAAUUUCAGGUAAAGCUAUCCAAAUUGUCAGAUCAUUUUUAAAUUUUGGACCAGUAUCCCCAAAGAAUGUACAAUUUUUUGUUCCAAUACAAACGAAGACCACAAUGGAUUUCUCUUCUUCUGGAAUCCAACGAAUAUGCACCGAUAUCUCAUUUAAAAGUAUAAUUUGCUAUGAUAUUGGGAAACUAUCCGAGAAGUAUCCAGUCGCUGUGGUGUGCCAAAUAUCUUCAAGAUUGGAAGUAGACAUUGACUUAGCAAUUGACGGUGUCAAGUGUGAAAAGUUCGUUGUUCUUCUUCUCCACACUGGCGUAGAAAUCCCUGGGACACCGACAGGUACAAAACUUGAAAACAAUGAAAAGUAUCAUAAUAUUGAGUUCAUUGACGUCGCUUUCAACAUUCACUCAAAUUUGUACAAAUGUAAGACAAAUGACUCUGCAAAAUGUCGAUUGCAGAAUUACUUUAAAAGCUUCUACAUGGAAUCGGAACACAGAUGAAUAAGCGAAGAAUACAACCAUGGAAUAAUAGGAGACUUCAACUUCUUACAAUCAUUUCGCAACGUACAAUUUUCAAGAUAAGGAAACCCCGUUGAUGUCUUCAUCAUUAAAAGACUUUAUUGCUUCACGCAUUUGUUAUUUAUCUUUGAUAAUGCAAGAUAUUUCUGAAAGUAUGACCGAUUUAAAUCAAACCACUCAUGAAUUGGUUAUGAACUUUGAUUCACUACACAUACAAUUAUUUAAUGAAAAUUUCACAUUUAACGGACUUGUGUUAUACAAUGCUUGCCAGGCUUAAUGCUGAUACUGUCAUUUAAAGGAAGUGUAUUAUAUUUAAGUGUGGUUGUUUAUACAUUUCCAUUACACAGAAGUGUGCAUUUUUUGUGUUAUGAUUCAGAUUGUAAAUGUGGAAUUCAU